rnacentral:rRNA from 1 species
CUUGUAGGCGGUUUGAUAAGUCCUGUGUGAAAUCCCUUGGCUUAACCAAGGAACUGCGCCGGAUACUGUCGAACUAGAGGCCGGGAGAGGGAAGCGGAAUUCCCAGUGUAGCGGUGAAAUGCGUAGAUAUUGGGAGGAACACCGGUGGCGAAGGCGGCUUCCUGGACCGGUUCUGACGCUGCAGAGCGAAAGCUAGGGUAGCAAACAGGAUUAGAUACCCUGGUAGUCCUAGCUGUAAACGAUGGGCGCUUGGUGUUGUGGGUAUCGACCCCCGCAGUGCCGAAGCUAACGCAUUAAGCGCCCCGCCUGGGGAGUACGGUCGCAAGGCUGAA